rnacentral:rRNA from 1 species
UGCGUAGGCGGCUUUUUAAGUCGGAUGUGAAAUCCCUGAGCUUAACUUAGGAAUUGCAUUCGAUACUGGGAAGCUAGAGUAUGGGAGAGGAUGGUAGAAUUCCAGGUGUAGCGGUGAAAUGCGUAGAGAUCUGGAGGAAUACCGAUGGCUAAGGCGACCACCUGGACUGAUACUGACACUGAGGUGCGAAAGCGUGGGGAGCAAACAGGAUUAGAUACCCCUGUA